rnacentral:rRNA from 1 species
UACAGAGGUCCCAAGCGUUGUUCGGAUUCACUGGGCGUAAAGGGUGCGUAGGCGGUUGGGUAAGUCUGAUGUGAAAUCUCACAGCUUAACUGUGAAACUGCAUUGGAUACUAUCCGGCUAGAGGAAUGGAGGGGAGACUGGAAUACUUGGUGUAGCAGUGAAUGCGUAGAUAUCAAGUGGAACACCAGUGGCGAAGGCGAGUCUCUGGACAUUUCCUGACGCUGAGGCACGAAAGCCAGGGGAGCAAACGGG